rnacentral:lncRNA from 1 species
AGCAAAGUCGAAGACCCGGUUCUUUUAGACCGGAUGGGGGGAGAGGCCCUCGCAACGACCUUUAUGUGCCCCCACAGCCCCGUUGGGAACAGAAGGAGAACCUCAUCCUAACCUGAGCUGAGAUCGACUACGUCAAGAACAGAAGGAGGACCUCAUCCUGGCGAUGAUAAAAACCCGAUCGCCCAACAUGAUCGGUAAAGGGAAAAGUCCCCUCAACGGCACC